UACGUAGGGGGCGAGCGUUGUCCGGAUUUAUUGGGCGUAAAGAGCUCGUAGGCGGUUCGAUAAGUCAGGUGUAAAAACUCCAGGCUCAACUUGGAGAGGCCACCUGAUACUGUCGUGACUAGAGUCCGGUAGAGGAGCACGGAAUUCCUGGUGUAGCGGUGAAAUGCGCAGAUAUCAGGAGGAACACCAGCGGCGAAGGCGGUGCUCUGGGCCGGAACUGACGCUGAGGAGCGAAAGCGUGGGGAGCGAACAGG
rnacentral:rRNA from 1 species